GACGAACGCUGGCGGCGUGCUUAACACAUGCAAGUCGAGCGGUGAAGCGCCUUCCUUUUUGGUGGGUGUGGAUGAGUGGCGAACGGGUGAGUAACACGUGAGUAACCUGCCCCCUUCUUCUGGAUAACCGCAUGAAAGUGUGGCUAAUACGGGAUAUUCUGGGUCUGUCGCAUGAUGGGUCUGGGAAAGAUAUUGUUUCGGUGGGGGAUGGGCUCGCGGCCUAUCAGCUUGUUGGUGGGGUGAUGGCCUACCAAGGCGGUGACGGGUAGCCGGCCUGAGAGGGUGGACGGUCACACUGGGACUGAGACACGGCCCAGACUCCUACGGGAGGCAGCAGUGGGGAAUAUUGCACAAUGGGCGCAAGCCUGAUGCAGCGACGCCGCGUGAGGGAUGGAGGCCUUCGGGUUGUGAACCUCUUUCGCCAGUGAAGCAGGCCUGCCUCGUUUGUGGGUGGGUUGACGGUAGCUGGAGAAGAAGCGCCGGCUAACUACGUG
rnacentral:rRNA from 1 species